rnacentral:rRNA from 1 species
GGGUUGUGAGGUUAAGCGACUAAGCGUACACGGUGGAUGCCCUGGCAGUCAGAGGCGAUGAAGGACGUGCUAAUCUGCGAAAAGCGCCGGCGAGGUGAUAUGAACCUUUGACCCGGCGAUGUCCGAAUGGGGAAACCCAGUGCAAUUCGUUGCACUAUCGUUAACUGAAUACAUAGGUUAACGAGGCGAACCGGGGGAACUGAAACAUCUAAGUACCCCGAGGAAAAGAAAUCAACCGAGAUUCCCCCAGUAGCGGCGAGCGAACGGGGAGCAGCCCAGAGUCUGAAUCAGCUUGUGUGUUAGUGGAAGCGUCUGGAAAGUCGCACGGUACAGGGUGAUAGUCCCGUACACGAAAAUGCACAGGUUGUGAACUCGAAGAGUAGGGCGGGACACGUGGUAUCCUGUCUGAAUAUGGGGGGACCAUCCUCCAAGGCUAAAUACUCCUGACUGACCGAUAGUGAACCAGUACCGUGAGGGAAAGGCGAAAAGAACCCCGGCGAGGGGAGUGAAAAAGAACCUGAAACCGUGUACGUACAAGCAGUGGGAGCACCUUCGUGGUGUGACUGCGUACCUUUUGUAUAAUGGGUCAGCGACUUAUAUUCUGUAGCAAGGUUAACCGUAUAGGGGAGCCGAAGGGAAACCGAGUCUUAACUGGGCGUUAAGUUGCAGGGUAUAGACCCGAAACCCGGUGAUCUAGCCAUGGGCAGGUUGAAGGUUGGGUAACACUAACUGGAGGACCGAACCGACUAAUGUUGAAAAAUUAGCGGAUGACUUGUGGCUGGGGGUGAAAGGCCAAUCAAACCGGGAGAUAGCUGGUUCUCCCCGAAAGCUAUUUAGGUAGCGCCUCGUGAACUCAUCUUCGGGGGUAGAGCACUGUUUCGGCUAGGGGGCCAUCCCGGCUUACCAACCCGAUGCAAACUACGAAUACCGAAGAAUGUUAUCACGGGAGACACACGGCGGGUGCUAACGUCCGUCGUGAAGAGGGAAACAACCCAGACCGCCAGCUAAGGUCCCAAAGUCAUGGUUAAGUGGGAAACGAUGUGGGAAGGCACAGACAGCCAGGAUGUUGGCUUAGAAGCAGCCAUCAUUUAAAGAAAGCGUAAUAGCUCACUGGUCGAGUCGGCCUGCGCGGAAGAUGUAACGGGGCUAAACCAUGCACCGAAGCUGCGGCAGCAACACUAUGUGUUGUUGGGUAGGGGAGCGUUCUGUAAGCCGUUGAAGGUGGCCUGUGAGGGUUGCUGGAGGUAUCAGAAGUGCGAAUGCUGACAUAAGUAACGAUAAAGCGGGUGAAAAGCCCGCUCGCCGGAAGACCAAGGGUUCCUGUCCAACGUUAAUCGGGGCAGGGUGAGUCGACCCCUAAGGCGAGGCCGAAAGGCGUAGUCGAUGGGAAACAGGUUAAUAUUCCUGUACUUGGUGUUACUGCGAAGGGGGGACGGAGAAGGCUAUGUUAGCCGGGCGACGGUUGUCCCGGUUUAAGCAUGUAGGCGGAGGUUCCAGGUAAAUCCGGUACCUUAUUAACGCUGAGGUGUGAUGACGAGGCACUACGGUGCUGAAGUAACAAAUGCCCUGCUUCCAGGAAAAGCCUCUAAGCAUCAGGUAACAUCAAAUCGUACCCCAAACCGACACAGGUGGUCAGGUAGAGAAUACCAAGGCGCUUGAGAGAACUCGGGUGAAGGAACUAGGCAAAAUGGUGCCGUAACUUCGGGAGAAGGCACGCUGAUAUGUAGGUGAAGCCCCUGCGGGUGGAGCUGAAAUCAGUCGAAGAUACCAGCUGGCUGCAACUGUUUAUUAAAAACACAGCACUGUGCAAACACGAAAGUGGACGUAUACGGUGUGACGCCUGCCCGGUGCCGGAAGGUUAAUUGAUGGGGUUAGCGGCAACGCGAAGCUCUUGAUCGAAGCCCCGGUAAACGGCGGCCGUAACUAUAACGGUCCUAAGGUAGCGAAAUUCCUUGUCGGGUAAGUUCCGACCUGCACGAAUGGCGUAAUGAUGGCCAGGCUGUCUCCACCCGAGACUCAGUGAAAUUGAACUCGCUGUGAAGAUGCAGUGUACCCGCGGCAAGACGGAAAGACCCCGUGAACCUUUACUAUAGCUUGACACUGAACACUGGUCCUUGAUGUGUAGGAUAGGUGGGAGGCUUUGAAGCGUGGACGCCAGUCUGCGUGGAGCCGUCCUUGAAAUACCACCCUUUAAUGGCUGGUGUUCUAACGUAGACCCGUGAUCCGGGUUGCGGACAGUGUCUGGUGGGUAGUUUGACUGGGGCGGUCUCCUCCCAAAGAGUAACGGAGGAGCACGAAGGUUAGCUAAUCCUGGUCGGACAUCAGGAGGUUAGUGCAAUGGCAUAAGCUAGCUUGACUGCGAGAGUGACGGCUCGAGCAGGUGCGAAAGCAGGUCAUAGUGAUCCGGUGGUUCUGAAUGGAAGGGCCAUCGCUCAACGGAUAAAAGGUACUCCGGGGAUAACAGGCUGAUACCGCCCAAGAGUUCAUAUCGACGGCGGUGUUUGGCACCUCGAUGUCGGCUCAUCACAUCCUGGGGCUGAAGUAGGUCCCAAGGGUAUGGCUGUUCGCCAUUUAAAGUGGUACGCGAGCUGGGUUUAGAACGUCGUGAGACAGUUCGGUCCCUAUCUGCCGUGGGCGCUGGAGAAUUGAGGGGGGCUGCUCCUAGUACGAGAGGACCGGAGUGGACGCAUCACUGGUGUUCGGGUUGUCAUGCCAAUGGCACUGCCCGGUAGCUAAAUGCGGAAAAGAUAAGUGCUGAAAGCAUCUAAGCACGAAACUUGCCCCGAGAUGAGUUCUCCCUGAGACUUUAAGUCUCCUGAAGGAACGUUGAAGACGACGACGUUGAUAGGUCGGGUGUGUAAGCGCAGCGAUGCGUUGAGCUAACCGAUACUAAUGAACCGUGAGGCUUAACCUUACAACGCCGAAGGUGUUU